CCUACGGGAGGCAGCAGUGAGGAAUAUUGGUCAAUGGGCGCGAGCCUGAACCAGCCAAGUAGCGUGAAGGAUGACUGCCCUACGGGUUGUAAACUUCUUUUAUAAAGGAAUAAAGUGAGGCACGUGUGCCUUUUUGUAUGUACUUUAUGAAUAAGGAUCGGCUAACUCCGUGCCAGCAGCCGCGGUAAUACGGAGGAUCCGAGCGUUAUCCGGAUUUAUUGGGUUUAAAGGGAGCGUAGAUGGGUUGUUAAGUCAGUUGUGAAAGGUUGCGGCUCAACCGUAAAAUUGCAAUUGAUACUGGCAGUCUUGAGUACAGUUGAGGUAGGCGGAAUUCGUGGUGUAGCGGUGAAAUGCUUAGAUAUCACGAAGAACUCCGAUUGCGAAGGCAGCUUACUAAACUGCCACUGACAUUGAUGCUCGAAAGUGUGGGUAUCGAACAGGAUUAGAUACCCCAGUAGUC
rnacentral:rRNA from 1 species